rnacentral:pre_miRNA from 9 species
UCUCGAUAGCGUAAAAGUUAGCUCGAAUUUGUAUGGAGUUGAAACGAUUGCCUACGUUUGCCGCUAGGGGCGCUGUUCCGAUAGCAUACUUUGAGAUAACUUUUACGUUAUCGA